GGCACUAUAGCCAAGUGGUUAAGGCGAUGCACUCGAAUUGCCGACAAUUGGUGAGUUGGUAUGCAUUCCACUUUGUGGGCGCAGGUUCAAAUCCUGCUGGUGUCG
rnacentral:tRNA from 1 species